rnacentral:misc_RNA from 1 species
AGCAGCCGCGGUAAUUCCAGCUCCAAUGGCGUAUAUUAAAGUUGUUGCAGUUAAAAAGCUCGUAGUUGAAUUUCGGGAUUGACACAUCGGUCGUGCCUUAAGGGGUAUGAACUGGUGUAGUCAAUUUCUCACCUUCUGGAGAACCGCGAUGCCCUUAAUUGGGUGUCGCGGGGAACCAGGACCUUUACUUUGAAAAAAUUAGAGUGUUUAAAGCAGGCAUUUUGCUUGAAUACAUUAGCAUGGAAUAAUAAAAUAGGACGGCAUGAUUCUAUUUUGUUGGUUUCUAGGAUCACCGUAAUGAUUAAUAGGGAUAGUUGGGGGCAUUAGUAUUCAAUUGUCAGAGGUGAAAUUCUUGGAUUUAUUGAAGACUAACUACUGCGAAAGCAUUUGCCAAGGAUGUUUUUCAUUAAUCAAGAACGAAAGUUAGGGGAUCGAAGACGAUCAGAUACCGUCGUAGUCUUAACCAUAAACUAUGCCGACUAGGAAUCAGACGAUGUUAAUUUUUUAAUGACUCGUUUGG